rnacentral:rRNA from 1 species
GUAGGCCUACGGGGGGCAGCAGUGGGGGAUAUUGCACAAUGGGGGAAACCCUGAUGCAGCGACGCCGCGUGAGUGAAGAAGUAUUUCGGUAUGUAAAGCUCUAUCAGCAGGGAAGAAAAUGACAGUACCUGACCAAGAAGCCCCGGCUAACUACGUGCCAGCAGCCGCGGUAAUACGUAGGGGGCAAGCGUUAUCCGGAUUUACUGGGUGUAAAGGGAGCGUAGACGGCAGCACAAGUCUGAAGUGAAAUGCCGGGGCUUAACCCCGGAACUGCUUUGGAAACUGUGCAGCUAGAGUGCAGGAGG